UACGUAGGGUGCGAGCGUUGUCCGGAAUUACUGGGCGUAAAGAGCUCGUAGGUGGUUUGUCGCGUUGUCCGUGAAAACUCACAGCUUAACUGUGGGCGUGCGGGCGAUACGGGCAGACUGGAGUACUGCAGGGGAGACUGGAAUUCCUGGUGUAGCGGUGAAAUGCGCAGGAUAUCAGGCGGAACACCCGUGGCGAAGGCGGCCAGCUGGGCCGACCCUGACGCUGAGGCGCGAAGGCGUGGGGAGCGAACGGG
rnacentral:rRNA from 1 species